rnacentral:rRNA from 1 species
CCUGAACGCUGGCGGCGUGGCUAAGACAUGCAAGUCGUACGGGCCGGCAGCAAUGCCGGCCAGUGGCGGACGGGUGAGUAAUGUAUCGCUAAUGUACCCCGAACUCCGGGAUAGCCGUGGGAAACUGCGGGUAAUACCGGAUGACAUCGCCGCGGAGCAUUCCGCGGGGCUCAAAGGGUCACCGGUUCGGGAGCAGGCGAUAUCGUAUCAGCUAGUUGGUGCGGGUAACGGCCCACCAAGGCGACGACGCGUAGCUGGUCUGAGAGGACGGCCAGCCACAUUGGGACUGAGACACUGCCCAGACUCCUACGGGGGGCUGCAGUAACGAAUCUUCCGCAAUGCACGCAAGUGUGACGGAGCGACGCCGCGUGGAGGUUUAAGUCCUCGG